rnacentral:rRNA from 1 species
AUGACUACCUUGGAUAUGACCAAAAAUAUUGCAUAUAUGCAUAUUUGUCAGGUGAUUUCUAGUGCAAACUAUUCAAUAAUCUAUUUAUGUUAUCCAGAACAAAAAUACUUCACACACUUUUGUGUUUUGUCUAAUUGCAGGUGUAUGGGACAUUUGUACAAUCCACAUAUGAAGAUAAGGAAGAAAGAGAUGUUUAUUUGCUGUCCAAAAAGUUCUCUCACGUCACUUUUGGCCCAAGAGAAGAUAGAGUCCAAGUCUCACGUUCUGGAUUCAGAUUCGGACUGCACAGACAUACCUGACUCAAAACGCACACAAGUUUUUCAUACGGACUCCGAAUUAGGAAUAGACCUUCGUGGUCAGGUUGAUCGUGCUCCGGCGUGGUCAAUAACCUCUCGGAGUUGGUUUAGCGAUUGCUAA